rnacentral:rRNA from 1 species
AACGAACGCUGGCGGUGUGCUUAACACAUGCAAGUCGAACGAGAAAGUUUCCUUCGGGAAGCGAGUAAAGUGGCGCAAGGGUGAGUAACACGUGAAUAAUCUACCCCCGAGACUGGGAGUAACCUGGUGGAAAACUAAGGCUAAUACCGGAUAAGACCACGUCCGCAAGGGAGUGCGGGAAAAGGAGGCUCAACCUCCACUUGGAGGAUGAGUUCGCGGACCAUUAGCUUGUUGGUGAGAUAACAGCUCACCAAGGCUACGAUGGAUAGCCGGCCGUGAGAGGGUGGAACGGCCACACUGGAACUGAGACACGGUCCAGACCCCUACCGGGAGGCAGCAGUGGGGAAGUAUUGCGCAAUGGGCGAAAGCCUGACGCAGCAACACCGCGUGAGCGAUG